UACGUAGGGUGCAAGCGUUGUCCGGAAUUAUUGGGCGUAAAGAGCUCGUAGGCGGCCUGUCACGUCGACUGUGAAAACCCGAGGCUCAACCUCGGGCCUGCAGUCGAUACGGGCAGGCUAGAGUUCGGUAGGGGAGACUGGAAUUCCUGGUGUAGCGGUGAAAUGCGCAGAUAUCAGGAGGAACACCGGUGGCGAAGGCGGGUCUCUGGGCCGUAACUGACGCUGAGGAGCGAAAGCGUGGGGAGCGAACAGG
rnacentral:rRNA from 1 species